rnacentral:pre_miRNA from 1 species
UUAGUACUUCUUCCGUCCAACAAAAAAUGUUUCAAGUUUGUCAAAAUUUAGAUGUAUGUAGACAUGACUUCGUAUAUAAAUGCAUUAAAAUUUAGUCAAAGUUGAGACAUUCUUUGUUGGACCGAAGAAGAUUUU